CCUACGGGUGGCAGCAGUGAGGAAUAUUGGUCAAUGGACGAGAGUCUGAACCAGCCAAGUAGCGUGAAGGAUGACUGCCCUAUGGGUUGUAAACUUCUUUUAUAUGGGAAUAAAACGUUCCACGUGUGGGAUUUUGUAUGUACCAUAUGAAUAAGGAUCGGCUAACUCCGUGCCAGCAGCCGCGGUAAUACGGAGGAUCCGAGCGUUAUCCGGAUUUAUUGGGUUUAAAGGGAGCGUAGGUGGAUUGUUAAGUCAGUUGUGAAAGUUUGCGGCGCAACCGUAAAAUUGCAGUUGAGACUGGCAGUCUUGAGUACAGUAGAGGUGGGCGGAAUUCGUGGUGUAGCGGUGAAAUGCUUAGAUAUCACGAAGAACUCCGAUUGCGAAGGCAGUUCACUGGACUGCAACUGACACUGAGGCUCGAAAGUGUGGGUAUCAAACAGGAUUAGAUACCCGAGUAGUC
rnacentral:rRNA from 1 species